UACAGAGGGGGCUAGCGUUGUUCGGAAUUACUGGGCGUAAAGGGCGCGCAGGCGGCUGCUCAAGUCAGGCGUGAAAGGCCUGGGCUCAACCCGGGAAUUGCGCUUGAGACUGGGCUGGCUUGAGUGCGGGAGAGGAUGGUGGAAUUCCCAGUGUAGAGGUGAAAUUCGUAGAUAUUGGGAGGAAUACCGGUGGCGAAGGCGGCAUCCUGGACCGGCAUUGACGCUGAGGAGCGAAAGCCAGGGGAGCAAACGGG
rnacentral:rRNA from 1 species